GUGGGAGGGGGCUUGCUCCCGAUGACAAUGUUUCAGCCAACAGAUUCAUUGGCUGAUCCGUCAUCGGGAGCAAGCCCCCUCCCAC
rnacentral:misc_RNA from 1 species